rnacentral:rRNA from 1 species
GACAGAGGUGCCGAGCGUUAGGCGGAAUCACUGGGCUUAAAGCGUGUGUAGGCGGAUCUGUAAGUACCUUGUGAAAUCCCACGGCUCAACCGUGGAACUGCUUGGUAUACUGCGGGUCUUGAGCCACCUAGGGGCAAGUGGAACAAACGGUGGAGCGGUGAAAUGCGUAGAGAAUCGGGUGGAACACCAGGGGCGAAGGCGGCAUCCUGGCUCUGUACUGACGCUGAGGCGCGAAAGCGUGGGGAGCAAACAGG